rnacentral:lncRNA from 1 species
AGAAUUUGUGUUAAAAGGAAUCAGAGAUCAUGCUGAGAUGUUGGAGUGAUUGGCAGCAACAUGAACCAUAGAAUAUAGCUAUGUUGACACUUGGCAGACCUGGAGUAGGUUCUCUGAAAAUGAUGACCAGAAAGGAAUGUGGCUAUAUCUAUACAUGCACUUUGUUCCUCUGUAUCAAUUUCAACUUUUCUAGAAGGUGCCCAUGGAGUAAAAAAAGAUAA